UCCCUAGUGGCUCAGAUGGUAUAGAAUCUGCCUGAAGUGCAGGAAACCUGGGUUUGAUGCCCAGGUUGGGAA
rnacentral:tRNA from 1 species